rnacentral:tRNA from 1 species
AUUAAAGUGGCAGAAAAAUUGCCAGGAAUUUAAGCUUCCUUAAUGAAAAUGUUUCCUUUAAUA